UACGAAGGGGGCUAGCGUUGUUCGGAAUCACUGGGCGUAAAGGGCGCGUAGGCGGCUUUAUAAGUCGGGGGUGAAAGCCUGUGGCUCACCACAGAAUUGCCUUCGAUACUGUAGAGCUUGAGACCGGAAGAGGUAAGUGGAACUGCGAGUGUAGAGGUGAAAUUCGUAGAUAUUCGCAAGAACACCAGUGGCGAAGGCGGACUUACUGGUCCGGUUCGUGUACGCUGAGGCGCGAAAGCGUGGGGAGCAAACAGG
rnacentral:rRNA from 1 species